rfam:Macrostomum lignano unitig_48330, whole genome shotgun sequence.
AAGCAGAACUGGCGCUGUGGGAUGAACCAAACGCGCGGUUAAGGCGCCCCAAUGCGGACGCUCAUUGAGACACGCACAAAAGGUGUUGGUCGAUACUGACAGCAGGACGGUGGCCAUGGAAGUCGGAACCGCUAAGGAGUGUGUAACAACUCACCUGCCGAAUCAACCAGCCCUGAAAAUGGAUGGCGCUGGAGCGUCGGGCCUAUACCGUGCCGUUGGGCGAAGCAGACAAAUAAUCUGUGUGGAUGUCCCAACGAGUAGGAGAGGGUCGCCGUGGGUGAGCGCAGAAGGUGCGGCCGUGAGGCCGGCUGGAGCCGCCACGGGCGCAGAUCUUGGUGGUAGUAGCAAUUACUUCAAGUGAGAACCUUGAGGACUGAAGUGAGAAGGUUUCCAUGUGAACAGCAGUUGAACAUGGGUCAGGCGGUCCUAAGCGAUCGGUAACUCCGUAGCCUAGACGAGGGUGACAACUAUCACUGAUAAUACUGUGAAGUGUUAUAGCCGCUUCCGGAGCGAAAGGGAAUCGUGUUAAUAUUCACGACCUUACCGGUGGAGAUCGCCCCUUUCGGGGGCAAGGUGCGGUAACGCAAACGAACACAGACGACGGUCGGCUGAGCCCGGAAGAGUUCUCUUUUCUUUGUAAGGAGCGUACCCCCUGGAAUCGGCUUUGUCCGGAGAUAGGGGCGUGGCUUCCCGUAAAGCAGCGCGGUCUUGCGCUGUCCGGUGCACUCUAGUCGGCCCUUGAAAAUCUGUGGGAGACAGUGUGAUUUUCACGGUAGGCCGUACCCAUAUCCGCAGCAGGUCUCCAAGGUGAACAGCCUCUAGUCCUAGAACAAUGUAGGUAAGGAAGUCGGCAAAAUGGAUCCGUAACUUCGGAAAAGGAUUGGCUCUGAGGGCUGGGUCGGAUGGGCUGGCGUAAGAAGCUGUUCCGGUUUUGGUGAGGACUGGGCGAGGCUUUCGGGCUUUACUCGGACCAUGCCGAGACCAGGCAGUAGACGACGUCAGCUGUGCUUGUCGUGUUUCGGCGCGGCAGCUUCGUCCGGCAACAAACAGCCAACUCAGAACUGGCACGGACUAGGGGAAUCCGACUGUCUAAUUAAAACAAAGCAUUGCGAUGGCUGUUGUUGCUCGUGUUGACGCAAUGUGAUUUCUGCCAGUGCUCUGAAUGUCAAAGUGAAGAAAUUCAAAUCAAGCGCGGGUAAACGGCGGGAGUGGACUACGACUCUCUUAGACGGGCCGCUUGAUGAUGGUGUGCUGGACUGAGAGACAAACCUGAGCGUGGCGUGGGCAGACCAGCCUGCUGUUACUUGGUGGACAUGCAGGUUAGGCCACUGCCACCUCGAGAUGGUGAAACUAUGCUAUGUUGAGGCAGAAGCUUGGCCGAAGCUUGGAUGACUGUUCAGUAAU